rnacentral:misc_RNA from 1 species
GAUGAAGGAACGCAGCGAAAUGCGAUAAGUAAUGUGAAUUGCAGAAUUCAGUGAAUCAUCGAAUCUUUGAACGCACCUUGCGCUCCUUGGUAUUCCGAGGAGCAUGCCUGUUUGAGUGUCAUUAAUAUAUCAACCUCUUCAGCUUAUGCUUGUUGAGUGUUGGAUGGUGGGGGUUUGCUGGUGUCUUAUGAAGUCAGCUCCUCUGAAAUGCAUUAGCGGAACAAUUUGUUGACCGUUCAUUGGUGUGAUAAAAAUAUCUACGCUAUUGACGUCAGUCAGUUCAGCUUCUAACAGUCCAUUGACUUGGACAAAUUUUUCAUUAAUGUGACCUCAAAUCAGGUAGGACUACCCGCUGAACUUAAGCAUAUCAAUAAGCGGAGGA